rnacentral:rRNA from 1 species
UUUAACUGAGCGUUCAGUUACUUGACGUAGACCCGAAACCGGGCGACCUACCCAUGAGCAGGAUGAAGCGAAAGUAAAAUUUCGUGGAGGUCCGAACCCACGAGCGUUGAAAAGCUCGGGGAUGACUUGUGGGUAGCGGUGAAAUUCCAAUCGAGCCCGGAGAUAGCUGGUUCUCCCCGAAAUAGCUUUAGGGCUAGCCUCAAGGUGAGAGAUACGGAGGUAGAGCACUGAAUGUCCUAGGGGGUAUUGCACCUACCGAAGACUAUCAAACUCCGAAUGCCGUCAUCUUAUACUUGGGAGUCAGACUGUGGGUGAUAAGAUUCAUAGUCGAAAGGGCAACAGCCCAGAUCGUCAGCUAAGGUCCCUAAAUGUAAGUUAAGUGGUAAAGGAUGUGGGAUUGCACAGACAACCAGGAUGUUGGCUUAGAAGCAGCCACUCAUUCAAAGAGUGCGUAAUAGCUCACUGGUCGAGUGAUCCUGCGCCGAAGAUUUCCGGGGCUAAAACUUACUACCGAAGCUACGGCAUCAGUAAUGAUGGGUAGGGGAGCUUCCCAUACGGGUUGAAGCAUGACCGUAAGGACAUGUGGACAGUAUGGGAGUGAGAAUGUUGGCAUGAGUAGCGAGAUGUGGGUGAGAAUCCCACA